CACCCCACCCCGGUCCCCACACCAGGGAUCGAACUCGUGCCCCCUGCAGUGGAAGGGCGGAGCCUUAACCAUGGGAUCACCAGGGAAGUCCCUCUUUUCCCCAUUUUGAACUGGGUUGUUUGUCUUAUUCUUGAGUUUUUUUUUUUUUUAAGAGUUCUUUAUACACUCUAGAUACAAAUCCUUAGUCAAGUAUAUGAUUUGCAACUAUUUUCUCCUGCCUGUGGUUUGUUUUUUCAUUUUCUUUGAAGAACAAAAGUUUUUAAUUUUGAUGAAGUCCAGUUUAUUGAUCUUUUGCAGUUCAUAGUGUUUUGUAUUCUAUCUAGGAAAUUUUGCCAUUCAAAUGCCAUCAGGGAAAUUUUCUUUCAUAUUUUGAAUAACAUCUCUUAAACUUUGAAUCUUCAAAAUAUGCUCCUUGGUCAUGAAAACACUUAAGGAACGGCUCCCCAGCUCCCUCAUCUGGUGAGAGUGAGCUUUAAAGCAUUUGAACCUACAACAUUUUAAAAUUAUGAAAGCGUCAAAAGUGAUCUAAAGCAUUUUUCCUUUUAUCAAAUAUUUUUUCAGAAGUGCAAAAUACCUUACUAUUGGGAACACAGAAGAAAUAAUUUAAAAACAUGAGACCUGAAAGUCAAAUAGUACUGGUCUCAGUCCCUCAGAUGGCUUGCUUCUAGUUCACCACACCUUGAGUAUAUUUUCUUAUCACCCUUUGUUUCCAUGAAAUUCUAUUUGAAUGGAGGUUAAGAGCAUUUUAUUACCUUAAUGGAUGGCCCUAAAGUCCUCUUAGGGAGAGAAGUGCUCUUGCUGGGAAGAAUACUGUAUUUUAAUAAGUGCUUGUGGUUGGUGAGCACCCACCUACACUGCCUCCUACCCCUAUCCUGAGGGUGUCAAUUGGCUCCAAGCUUAAGAAGAUGGAAAAAUGGUCUCCAUAACAGAGGAGAUGGGAAGGAGAGAGAAAAGCAGGGAAAAUGGCAUGGCGAUGAAGGCUUUGCCAGAUAUGAUAUAACCCUUUCUCUAGGAGCCCCACAAAGUAGGGUACAUCUACUGAAUGAGUGACUUUUAUUGUGGUAACUGGAGAAAGGGCCUAAUCUGAAACAGUUCAGAACAGAAAUAACAUAUGAGAUUCAGGAGCUCAGAGGCCCAGAUGACCCUGAGAACCUAGGUCUCACUGGGUAUAUAUAAAACUCUUGGGAAGGCCCUCAACUUUCACAGAAAGUGGAAGUGACAAUAUCACAAAUUUAAACACACUACCCUUUGACCAUAAUGCGCUUACUUGCUCAAGUGCUCUCCUGGAAACAAACUUUAGGCCCCAUCUAGAGCUCAGCUUCAUUUAAAUCUUCACUCAGUCUCCUCCUGUCAUUACUCUAUCCAGUUCAGAUUCCAAGGUCCAUCACUUCCUGAAAAUACUUCAAGUCCUUUGUUCCUUUUUCCUUCCAUUGCACUUACCUGGGAAAACUUCAGCCACGUAGUGACUCAGUCAUCGUCUCUGAUUCUUAACUUCCUAUCAAAAACCUAAUAACACACUUAUAUCUAAACACCUCAUCCUUCAUAUUUGAAUGGAGAGAAGUGCUGCCAUCAAAGGCUAUCCCUUCCACCUGUCCUCUCAAGGUCUUUGUUCCUAUACACACACACACACACACACACACACACACACACAUAUAAAUACAUAUGUAACAAUACAUAUCUAAGAAUGCAUAUAUAAAAUACAUGUAUAAGAAUACUAAAUAGCACCACUGUUCUGUUCAGAGUUGCAGAAAACCUCAAACCAUUUCAAAUGUUUAUCAAACAAGAGAAUAGUUAAAUAAAUUGUGGUACGUUCAGUAAAGAAUUGUACAGAGCAGUGAAAAUUUUCUAAACUACAGCUGUGUGAAACAACAUGGAAGAAUCACAGAACAAAAUAUGAAGUGAGGAAGUAAGCCCAAGCUGAUUGCAUACAGUUUGAUACCAUCUCUAUAAAGCUCAAAAACAAGCAAUAGUAAACAGCAUAUUGCUUAUAUUGUUUAGGCCUAUACCUAUAUACAAAAACUAUUUUUAAAAGGAAUGAUAAAUAGAAAAUUCAGGACAAUGGUGAUCUCAGUAGGAAGGGGAAUCAGAGAAGGGAUAAACAAAUAAUUAGAUGUAAGAUGUUGGCUUGUCCUGAGGUUGGAUGGUAUGUUCACAAGUAUGUAUAUUCUAUUGUGCUUUAUAACAUACAUAAAUAUUAUAUAUAUUAUACUGUAGGUAUCAAAUAUUAUAUAAAAACAAUAUUUAAAACCUUUUAGGAGCUAUGAAAAAAAACUAUGAUGAGAUCCUUCUGUUCAAAAUAGCUAUCUUAACUUUAUUUAUCAAUUUCCCCAAUAUUUUUUAUGCUUCUGUUAUUUUAGGGCACCUUCCCAUCCAAAUCCUACCUAAUUCCAAGAUUCUGGUCAAGUUCCAGAUCUUCCCAGAAGUCUUCCCUGACUUCUCCAGCUCUUGUUCAUCUUUCUUUCCUCAAGCACUUAAACAACUUUUGGGUUCCAAGCAAAUCAGCAUGUAACUGUAUAUUGUCUUCUAUCAUUUAUAAUUGGUCAAUGUGUGUUAGGGCUCUUCAUUGCAAAUAACAGCAUCUGGUCUCAUUAGUAGUUUAAACAGAAAAGAAAUUUAUUAAAGGAUACAGAUGGCUCCUAGAAUCUCUGAGUGGGCAGGAAAUGAGGCUUGGCAGCUAUGCCAGGCUGAUGUCAAAACUGUGCUGUUCUGUUGCUCUAGUGGAGACUCUCCUGGUGCCACCACUGGGCAAAAGUGUACUUGUAGUCUCACCACUGACACUGGACACUGAACAUGACCCCUAGCAUGUCUAGCUCUGCUGCCCUUGGAAGCUGGUGGUUUUUUUGCCAGAAUGCAUUGCAAGCAGUGCCUCCAUUUUCACUUCACCCUCUUCUGACCUGCAGUCUCAUUUUGUUGUGGAACUGGGGUACCCAGGAUAUAUCUAGCUGUGUGCAACCCUGAGAAGAUGAGUUUUUUGCUUCUAUCUUAGGGAUGAACUCAUAAAGUAGGAGCUUCCAAACAUAGAAAGGGUGUUUCAAAGGUUAUCUUAUCUUACCAAUAUGGCUUAUUACCUAAAACACAUAACACUCAAUAAAUACCUGUUGAUUUAUUACUCUUCAGUAUCCUCCAUUAAAACAGUACCUUUGGGAUCAUCUAAUCCAGGGGUCUCUAACCCCUGGGCUAUGGAUGGGUACCGGUCCAUGGCCUAUUAGGAUUCAGGCACACAGCAGGUGAGCGGCAAGCGAGCAAAGCUUCAUUUGUAUUUACAGCUGCUCCCCAUGGCUCACAUUACCGCCUGAGCUCCGCCUCCUGUCAGCAUUAUGUAAUAGAAACCCUGAGUUUUUACUGGGCCAUGACCACCAAGAAUAAAGACUAUAUUCCCAGGCUCUUUUGCAGCUGUGUGUGGCCAUGAGAUUACAUUCUGGAUGUAACCAGAAUUGUCGUAUGCAUCUUCUGGGAAACAUUCUUAAAAUGUUGAGUCAUGCCCUUCUCUCUUUCCUCCUCCCUGCUGACUGGAAUGCAGUUGGAGCUCUAGAAGCCAUCUCAGAAAAUAAGGUGAACUUGAGAAUGGAAUGCUCACGUGGUAAAGCAAGAAAACAGGACACCUGUUGCCUAACACCAUGGAGCACCAUACCAACUAUGAACUUACUACCUCCAAACUUCUUGCAGAUUGUGGGAUCUUAGUUCCCCCACCAGGGAUCAAACCCAUGCCUCCUGCAGUGGACGCACUGAGUCUUAACCACUGGACUGCCAGGGAAUUCCCUCAAAGUGCUUUUAUAUUUAUUUUAUUAGACAUAAAGUGGAGAAUAUGGACUGUUAUCUGGAUAAUUAGAAGAAUGCCUCUUGCCUCAGUUACCCGGACUCUUGAAGUUAACAUAUUUCCCAUUUAAAUUAAUGUUAAUUUUGUAAAUUGCUUAAUAUUUUUUAUCUUGCAUUUAUAGAAAUAAAACCAUAAAAUUAAGGAAAAUGUGGUACAUAUACAUAUUUGCAUGCAUAAUUUUAGAUAGAGCUUGCAAUUUACUUUCUCUUAUUCUUUUCACAUAUUUAUUCUAUAAUUUUAAUGAAAUAUUUCAAGCUACAGAAAAGUAGAGAAAGAAUGUAGCAAACACUACUCAUCUUCUUGGUCUGUCAAAUCUUGAUGCUAUAGGUGCUAAAGGUAACAUUUUUUAGUUUUCUGAAUAGUUAACACAUUUAUAUGUUCCAAAAAAGUAUGGUGUUAAGUCCCCAUCCCACCCUGUCCCGUAUGUCCAGUUCCCAUCUCCACUUACUUAUAUAUUUAUUUUGUGUGCAUGUGUGUGCAAGCAAAUAUAUAUUGCACGAAUAUAUUUGGACUCACAUAAAAAAAAAUUAAAGGUAACACAUUUUUGACAUUCUUCUUUGUGCCCACAAUCCUAACACUAACUCUUUACUGCCUCUUUUCUCGGCUCAUUAUUCAAUUAAUAGAACACUUAUGUUCAAGGAAUUUUGUUAGUAACUCUUAAGAAUCGGUAGUUUCUCAUCAAAUUCUGUUUGCCUCCAUCCUUUAUAUUCCAUCCACAACCCAGUUUUCUAAAAACCUGAGAUCUACUUCCAAAGUCUGAAGUGCAUAGAGCAUAACGAACCCGAACAUCACGCGGACAAGGAGACUAAACUCCUCGGAAGAAUUCGUGAGGGCGGAAGCGGUAGGGAAAGCAGUGAGGUAUGGGUCGGACGCCGGA